AUGGCUCGCCAACUCAUAACCUUUGCAGCUCUAGCCCCUCUACUCAUGGCCAUGGCUGUCAUCGUCUCCCCUGCCGCCUCUGCCUUCCGAGGCGUGGGCGCGCGAGAAUCCUACCACCUGCGCUUCUACAUGCACGAUUUCUCCAACGGCCCAAACGCCAGCGCCAUCGUGGUCGCCCACGGCACCGGCCCGCUUCUUGGAGGCUCCAAGGACAGGCGCUUUGGCGACGUGGUGGUCAUGGACGACACCCUCACCGAAGGCCCUAACACGACGUCCAGGGCCCUCGGACGCGCCCAGGGGUUCUACAUCGCGUCGUCCUCCAUCAGCGGCGACCCCACGCUGCACAUCUCCAUGGACCUGGUAGUCACCAGCGGGCCCUGCAGUGGGAGCACGCUUGCCGUCACGGGCCGUGACAACGUCUUGGCUCCGGUGCGGGAGCUCCCGGUGGUCGGCGGCAUGGGGAGAUUCAGGAUGGCAUCGGGGUACGUGCUGAUGAAGACGGUGAACUGGCAUGGGAACGACGUUCUUCUGGAGCUGGAUGUCUACGUGCAUGCGUGA
rnacentral:rRNA from 1 species